rnacentral:rRNA from 1 species
CAACUUUCAACAAUGGAUCUCUUGGCUCUUGCAUCGAUGAAGAACGCAGCGAAUUGCGAUAUGUAAUGUGAAUUGCAGAAUUCAGUGAAUCAUCGAAUCUUUGAACGCAUAUUGCACUUUCUGGUCAUUCCAGAGAGUAUGCCUGUUUGAGUGUCAUU